rnacentral:rRNA from 1 species
GAUGAACGCUGGCGGCGUGCUUAACACAUGCAAGUCGAACGGAAAGGCUCCUGCUUGCAGGGGUACUCGAGUGGCGAACGGGUGAGUAACACGUGGGUGAUCUGCCCUGCACUUCGGGAUAGGCCUGGGAAACUGGGUCUAAUACCGGAUAGGACGAUGGUUUGGAUGCCAUUGUGGAAAGUUUUUUCGGUGUGGGAUGAGCUCGCGGCCUAUCAGCUUGUUGGUGGGGUAAUGGCCUACCAAGGCGUCGACGGGUAGCCGGCCUGAGAGGGUGUACGGCCUCAUUGGGACUGAGAUACGGACCAGACUCCUACGGGAGGCAGCAGUGGGGAAUAUUGCACAAUGGGCGCAAGCCUGAUGCAGCGACGCCGCGUGGGGGAUGACGGCCUUCGGGUUGUAAACUACUUUCGCUAGGGACGAAGCGCAAGUGACGGUACCUGGAGAAGAAGCACCGGCUAACUACGUG